AGAGAGAGAUUGGUGGGAUUUCAUGUCCAUAGAUUGGACGUUUUUACUCUGUAGGAUGGGGGCAGGGUUCAGCAGUUAGGACAGUUGGAGUGUUCUGUGAGUAGAACAUGGCAGCUAGAGGUCCUGGGGAUUUUUUUGGCCAUCCAGGUGACUCAAGGGGCUUACAUUCCCCGGUCUCUGUUUAUUAUGGAUAAACAACCAGGUCACAGGAAGGCUGUGAUUUUAUCAUUAGACUACCUCCUGUUGAAUCAGGGCAUCGGAGUCCUUUGGGUGAACUUGAACUUCACCAUCAAGGACCCAGGAAAACUGCAUCAGAGAGGGCGAAGUCUCAUCUGCAUGCACCCUACUUCACACUACAGCUAAAGAACCCCACGAAGCGCUCAGCUCUGAGUUUAUACAGCCUAGGAACCACUGGCCCGAAAACAAGCGUUCAGGAGGAAGGAAGACAUGGUCUGGGUUAUGAGAAGACCACUUGCUCCUUGUCCAGUAUAUUGUCUUUCUCUUAUGCCAGAGGAUUACACCUAAGACAGCCAGCCAAGGCCAUCUAUGAAGACCUUGCGGUUACUACUACUGGCAUUCUGCUGGUAAGCCAAGAAGGCUGACUUUAGCAGUGAGAACCAUGCCCCAUGGUAUGGUCUACAGUAGAGUCAUCUCAGCGAAGCCUGCAAAUAAGCAUAACAAAGCACAGAGGAAACCAUAUUUCAGAAACCACGUUAAAUUCUACCUAUUAGUGGGGCUUUAGAAACCCCACAGGUUCUCCACUAGCAAAGCACACCAUCAUGUCCACUCAGCUUUAAAGUAUGCAGCCAGUAAUUAAACUCCUUGCUAGCAUAAA